AUGGAUAAUAAGGACUGACAUUCCAGAUUUGAAACUCAGUGUCUGGAAUCUGUAACAUUGCUUCAUAUCCAUGUAAAGCUUUGAGGAAUACUUGAGAAAAUAAAUAUUUUUUUAAGAGUUUUGAAAAUUGGAAGUAAAAGCAGAAGAGCUGACUCUGGAUGCUCGAAGGAUUGCAUUACAUUGCAGGUGAGAUCACGAGCUUUUCAAAGGGCAGUGACAGGUGUCGGCUCGUAUGAUGGUUCUUCCUCAUCGGCAUGUGCCCUGAUGUGGCUUGUUUUCUUUCUGUCUCUGUGUGUAUUUACCUCGUCUGUGUCCCUGUGUCUGUCCCUUCGCUAUUUUCCCACUAUCGUUUCUGUACCAGGGUGGCACAGCGUGCAGAACAGGGUGACAUUAGACUUGGGCUCUGAGGUCCCCUUCAUGAAGGUGGCACCUCAGACAACAUGUGGCUUUCCGUUCAGCCUCCUCAUUUCUGCAGGGAUAAUUCCCAGUGGUGGGUUUUGCUGUUGAAUUAAGAGACAAGGUAAGGAAAGCACCUAGCAUAGUGCCUAGCACAUGAGAACUAAUACAGGGUGGCUGCUAUUAUUCUGUCUCUUCUGCCUCUUUUUUUCCCCCGCAUAAAUUCAUGCUUCCUCUUGCUCUAAUUUUCCCGAAUAUAUAAGUGAAACCAGUACUUUUUAAAAUCUUAAAAUAAUAUAUAUUUAAAAGUAUAGGGGUGGAUAAAUACCAGUUAAAACUCCUCCAUCACAAGUGUCAGUCCCUUGGCAUAUAAAGUGAAGGGAGACUGCGCUAAACGUCUGUUAAGCAAAACAAUUAAGGGAAUCUUUUGGUUCAUGUAAUGAGCAGUCUAGAGGUAAACCUAGCUUUGUUGCUGUUCAGUUGCUAAGUCGUGUCACACUCUUUGCAACCCCAUGGACUGCAGCAUGCCAGGCUCCUCUAUCCUUCGCUGUCUCCCAGAUUUUGUUCAAAUUCACGUCUAUUGAGUCAGUGAUGUUAUCUUUCUCAUCCUCUGCCACCCCCUUCUCCUUUUGCCUUCAAUCUUUCCCAGGAUCAGGGUCUUUUCCA
rnacentral:lncRNA from 1 species